GAUGAACGCUGGCGGCGUGCCUAAUACAUGCAAGUCGAGAGAACGGACGAGAAGCUUGCUUCUCUGAUGUUAGCGGCGGACGGGUGAGUAACACGUGGAUAACCUACCUAUAAGACUGGGAUAACUUCGGGAAACCGGAGCUAAUACCGGAUAAUAUUUUGAACCGCAUGGUUCAAAAGUGAAAGACGGUCUUGCUGUCACUUAUAGAUGGAUCCGCGCUGCAUUAGCUAGUUGGUAAGGUAACGGCUUACCAAGGCGACGAUGCAUAGCCGACCUGAGAGGGUGAUCGGCCACACUGGAACUGAGACACGGUCCAGACUCCUACGGGAGGCAGCAGUAGGGAAUCUUCCGCAAUGGGCGAAAGCCUGACGGAGCAACGCCGCGUGAGUGAUGAAGGUCUUCGGAUCGUAAAACUCUGUUAUUAGGGAAGAACAUAUGUGUAAGUAACUGUGCACAUCUUGACGGUACCUAAUCAGAAAGCCACGGCUAACUACGUG
rnacentral:rRNA from 1 species